AUUCAUGUAGCUUAAAUUAAAGCCCAAUAUUGAAGAUAUUGUGAUAAGUGUAAACUUCUUGAAUA
rnacentral:tRNA from 1 species